UACGUAGGGUGCGAGCGUUAAUCGGAAUUACUGGGCGUAAAGCGUGCGCAGGCGGUUCUCCAAGUCCGUUGUGAAAGCCCCGGGCUCAACCUGGGAAUGGCAGUGGAAACUAGGGGACUGGAAUCUGGCAGAGGGGGGUGGAAUGCCGCGUGUAGCAGUGAAAUGCGUAGAUAUCGGGAGGAACACCUGUGGCGAAAGCGGCUCACUGGACCACAACUGACGCUGAGGCGCGAAAGCUAGGGGAGCAAACAGG
rnacentral:rRNA from 1 species